GCUCUUGCUCUUGCUCCUUCGCCUGCUUGCCGUGUGAGACUGAGUAACUGCUAGAUCCUUGGACUUCCAUUCACAGCUGCGACUGAACAAUUGUAAGGAAUUGGGCUGCCGACUUGCAGAAAACAGAUGGAUCAUGGAGAAUGACAGUUGAUUAUCGAAAACUAAAUCAGGUGGUAACUCCAAUUGCAGCUGCUGUACCAGACGUAGUUUCGUUACUUGAGCAAAUUAACACAUCUCCUGGCACCUGGUAUGCAGCUAUUGAUCUGGCAAAUGCCUUCUUCUCAGUACCUGUUCAUAAGGACCACCAGAAGCAAUUUGCUUUCAGUUGGCAAGGCCAACAGUAUACCUUCACAGUUUUGCCUCAAGGAUAUAUUAACUCUCCUGCCCUGUGUCAUAAUUUAGUUAGAAGGGAUCUUGAUCGUUUGGAUCUUCCACAAAAUAUCACAUUGGUGCACUAUAUUGAUGACAUUAUGCUGAUUGGACCAAGUGAGCAGGAAGUAGCAACUACUUUGGACUCAUUGGUAACACAUAUGCGUAUCAGAGGAUGGGAAAUAAAUCCAACCAAAAUUCAAGGACCAUCUACCUCAGUGAAAUUCUUAGGAGUCCAGUGGUGUGGGGCAUGCAGAGAUAUUCCUUCUAAGGUGAAAGAUAAGUUAUUGCACCUGGCCCCUCCUACAACCAAGAAAGAAGCACAACGUUUAGUGGGCCUAUUUGGAUUCUGGAGACAACACAUCCCUCACUUGGGUGUGUUACUUAGGCCUAUUUACCAAGUGACUCGGAAAGCUGCUAGCUUUGUGUGGGGCCUGGAACAGGAGAAGGCCCUUCAACAGGUCCAGGCUGCUGUGCAGGCUGCUCUACCACUUGGACCAUAUGACCCAGCAGACCCAAUGGUACUUGAGGUGUCUGUGGCUGAUAGAGAUGCUGUUUGGAGCCUCUGGCAGGCCCCUGUAGGUGAAUCACAGAAAAGACCUUUGGGAUUUUGGAGCAAAGCUCUACCAUCAUCUGCAGACAACUAUUCUCCCUUUGAAAAACAGCUCUUGGCCUGCUAUUGGGCCUUAGUGGAAACUGAACGUCUGACAAUAGGACACCAAGUCACUAUGCGACCUGAACUACCCAUCAUGAGCUGGGUACUAUCAGACCCUGCAAGUCAUAAAGUGGGACGUGCACAGCAGCAGUCUAUUAUCAAAUGGAAGUGGUAUAUACGUGAUCGGGCCAGAGCAGGUCCUGAAGGCACAAGCAAGUUACAUGAAGAAGUUGCUCAAAUGCCUAUGGUUUCUACUCCUGUUACAAUGCCAUCUGCUGCCAAGCAUGCACCUAUAGCCUCAUGGGGUGUUCCCUAUGAUCAACUGACUGAAGAGGAGAAGACUAGAGCCUGGUUUACUGAUGGCUCUGCACGUUAUGCAGGCACCACCCAGAAGUGGACAGCUGCAGCAUUACAACCCCUUUCUGGGACAACCUUGAAAGACACAGGUGAAGGGAAAUCUUCACAGUGGGCAGAACUUCGGGCAGUACACAUGGUAUUACAGUUUGUUUGCAAGAAGAAAUGGCCAGAUGUACGAUUAUACACUGACUCAUGGGCUGUAGCCAAUGGAUUGGCUGGAUGGUCAGGGACUUGGAAAGAUCACAAUUGGAAAAUUGGUGAGAAAGACAUCUGGGGAAGAAGUAUGUGGAUAGAUCUCUCCAAAUGGGCAAAGGAUGUGAAGAUAUUUGUGUCCCAUGUAAAUGCUCACCAAAAGGUGACUUCAGCUGAGGAGGAGUUCAAUAAUCAAGUGGAUAAGAUGACCCGUUCUGUGGACAAUCAGCCUCUCUCCCCAGCCAUCCCUGUCAUUGCUCAAUGGGCACAUGAACAAAGUGGCCAUGGUGGUCGAGAUGGAGGUUAUGCUUGGGCUCAGCAACAUGGGCUUCCACUCACCAAGGCUGACCUGGCUACAGCUGCUGCUGAUUGCCAGAUCUGCCAACAGCAGAAACCAACACUGAGCCCCAGAUAUGGCACCAUUCCUCGAGGUGACCAGCCAGCAACCUGGUGGCAGGUUGACUACAUUGGACCACUUCCUUCGUGGAAAGGACAGCGUUUUGUUCUUACUGGAGUAGAUACUUAUUCUGGUUAUGGAUUUGCCUUUCCUGCACGUAAUGCCUCUGCUAAAACCACCAUUCACGGACUGACAGAAUGCCUCAUCUAUCGUCAUGGUAUUCCACACAGUAUUGCUUCUGACCAAGGAACUCAUUUCACAGCCAGAGAAGUACGACAGUGGGCUCACGAUCAUGGAAUUCACUGGUCUUACCACAUUCCCCAUCAUCCUGAAGCAGCUGGGCUGAUAGAAAGAUGGAAUGGCCUUUUGAAGACGCAGUUACAGCGCCAAUUAGGUGGUAACAGCUUGGAAGGCUGGGGCAGAGUUCUUCAGAAGGCAGUAUAUGCUUUGAAUCAGCGCUCGAUAUAUGGUGCAGUUUCACCCAUAGCCAGGAUUCAUGGGUCCAGGAAUCAAGGGGUGGAAAACGGAAUAGUUCCACUUACUAUCACUCCUAGUGACCCUCUAGGAAAAUUUUUGCUUCCUGUCCCCAUAACUCUAGGUUCUGCUGGCUUAGAAGUUUUGGCUCCAGAGAGGGGAGUGCUCCUACCAGGAGCUACAACAAACAUUUCAUUGAACUGGAAGCUCAGACUUCCCCCUGGUCAUUUUGGGCUUCUAAUGCCCUUAAACCAACAGGCUAAAAAAGGAAUAACAGUGUUAGGAGGGGUGAUAGAUCCAGAUUACCAUGGGGAAAUUGGAUUACCUCUUCACAAUGGUGGUAAGCAAGAUUAUGUCUGGAGUGCAGGAGAUCCCUUAGGGCGUCUCUUAGUACUACCAUGUCCUGUGAUUAAAGUCAAUGGGAAACUACAACAGCCUAAUCCAAGCAGGAUGACAAAGGACGCAGACCCAUCAGGAAUGAAGGUAUGGGUCAAUCCUCCAGGAAAAGAGCCAAGACCUGCUGAGGUGCUGGCUGAAGGUGAAGGAAAUACAGAAUGGGUAGUAGAGGAAGGUAGUUAUAAAUACCAAUUAAGGCCACGUAACCAGUUGCAGAAACGAGGAUUAUAAAGUAAUAUGAAUGCCCAUUGUAAAUUUACUAAUGCGUUUGCGAUUGUACGAGGGAUAGUUAUAUCAUGUUAGGCGUAUUUACAACCUUGUUAUUGUUUCAUGUGAACAUGAGAUAUUAUUUGUGUCAAGUUGACAAGGGGUGGAUUGUAGUGGCUAUUCCUGGUUGUCAACUUGACAAUAUUUGGAAUGAACUACAAUCCGGAAUUGGAAGGCUCACCAGUGACCCUUAUCUGGAGGCUUGGAGAUCCUUAUCUGGAUCUUGGUUUGAAGAUCUUGAGCCAUAGUGGCUAUGGAUUCCAGAAGAUUGAAUCUCCGAGUUAAGGAACACACCUUUAAUCUGGGCUAUGCCUUUCAUCUGGGAUUAAAGGUGUGGUGGAACACACCUUUAAUCUGGGCUACACCUUUUGCUGGAGACAAUAUAAGGACAUUGGAAGAAGGGAGUCUAGCUCUUGCUCUUGCUCUUGCUCCUUCGCCUGCUUGCCGUGUGAGACUGAGUAACUGCUAGAUCCUUGGACUUCCAUUCACAGCUGCGACUGAACAAUUGUAAGGAAUUGGGCUGCCGACUGUAAGUUAUCAAUAAAUUCCUUUACUAACU
rnacentral:lncRNA from 1 species